rnacentral:rRNA from 1 species
GUAGGGAAUAUUGCACAAUGGGGGAAACCCUGAUGCAGCGACGCCGCGUGAGUGAUGAAGGCCUUCGGGUCAUAAAGCUCUGUCGUAUGGGACUAACAAAAUGAAGGUACCAUGCAAGAAAGGAUCGGCUAACUUCGUGCCGGCAGCCGCGGUAAGACGAGGGAUCCUAGCGUUGUUCGGAAUUAUUGGGCGUAAAGCGGGUGUAGGCGGGCCUGUCAGUCAGGUGUGAAAUCCCAGGGCUUAACCCUGGAAGUGCACUUGAUACUGCAGGUCUUGAGUGUGGUAGAGGCUAUUAGAAUUCUUGGUGUAGUGGUGAAAUACGUAGAUAUCAAGAGGAAUACCGGAGGCGAAGGCGGAUAGCUGGGCCAACACUGACGCUGAGACCCGAAAGCGUGGGGAUCAAACAGGAUUAGAUACCCGUGUAGUCC